ACACCGGCGGCCCGAGUGGUGAUCGUGAUUAUUGGGUCUAAAGGGUCCGUAGCCGGUUUGGUCAGUCCUCCGGGAAAUCUGAUAGCUCAACUAUUAGGCUUUCGGGGGAUACUGCCAGACUUGGAACCGGGAGAGGUAAGAGGUACUACAGGGGUAGGAGUGAAAUCUUGUAAUCCCUGUGGGACCACCUGUGGCGAAGGCGUCUUCCCAGACCGGUGUCGAAGGGAAGGGACGAAAGCUGGGGGCACGAACCGGAUUAGAUACCCGGUUAGUCCCAGCCGUAAACGAUGCUCGCUAGGUGUCAGGCAUGGCGCGACCGUGUCUGGUGCCGCAGGGAAGCCGUGAAGCGAGCCACCUGGGAAGUACGGCCGCAAGGCUGAAACUUAAAGGAAUUGACGGGG
rnacentral:rRNA from 1 species